UACGAAGGGAGCUAGCGUUGUUCGGAAUUACUGGGCGUAAAGGGCGCGUAGGCGGGUUUCCAAGUCGGGGGUGAAAUUCCAGGGCUCAACCCUGGGACGGCCUUCGAUACUGGGAGCCUGGAGAUCGGGAGAGGUGAGUGGAAUUCCGAGUGUAGAGGUGAAAUUCGUAGAUAUUCGGAGGAACACCAGAAGCGAAGGCGGCUCACUGGCCCGAGACUGACGCUGAGGCGCGAAAGCGUGGGGAGCAAGCAGG
rnacentral:rRNA from 1 species